rnacentral:rRNA from 1 species
AUUGAACGCUGGCGGCAGGCCAAACACAUGCAAGUCGAGCGAGCGGCAGACGGGUGAGUACAGUAUGGGGACUGCCCGAUACAGGGGGAUAACUACUGGGAACGGUAGCUACUACCGGAUACUAUCGGGUAACCCAUAUGGGAUUAGCUAGUAGGUGAGGGAUUGGCUCAGCUAGGCGACGCUCCCUAUCGGGUCUUAGUGGAUGAUCAGACCCCCUGGGACUGAGACACUGCCCAGACUCCUACGGCGUCAGCAGUGGGGAAUCUUGCCCAAUGGGCUGAAGCCUGCUGCCUCGAUGCCGCGUUGAUGUAGAGGGCCCUACGGUUGUAAAGUGCUUUCAGUCUGGAAGCGUUACCGACAGAGGAAUCUCCGGCUAACUCCGUGCCAGCAGCCGCGGUAAUUC